UGAAAUUGUCAAUUUCCGCGG
rnacentral:piRNA from 1 species